rnacentral:rRNA from 1 species
GACGAACGCUGGCGGCGUGCUUAACACAUGCAAGUCGAGCGAUGAAGUUCCUUCGGGAAUGGAUUAGCGGCGGACGGGUGAGUAACACGUGGGUAACCUGCCUCAUAGAGGGGAAUAGCCUUCCGAAAGGAAGAUUAAUACCGCAUAAGAUUGUAGUAUCGCAUGAUACAGCAAUUAAAGGAGUAAUUCGCUAUGAGAUGGACCCGCGUCGCAUUAGCUAGUUGGUGAGGUAACGGCUCACCAAGGCGACGAUGCGUAGCCGACCUGAGAGGGUGAUCGGCCACAUUGGGACUGAGACACGGCCCAGACUCCUACGGGAGGCAGCAGUGGGGAAUAUUGCGCUAUGGGGGAAACCCUGAUGCAGCAACGCCGCGUGAGUGAUGACGGUCUUCGGAUUGUAAAACUCUGUCUUCAGGGACGAUAAUGACGGUACCUGAGGAGGAAGCCACGGCUAACUACGUGCCAGCCGCCGCGGUAA